rnacentral:rRNA from 1 species
UACGUAGGGGGCAAGCGUUGUCCGGAUUUAUUGGGCGUAAAGAGCUCGUAGGUGGUUCGGUAAGUCGGAUGUGAAAUCUCCAGGCUCAACCUGGAGGGGUCAUUCGAUACUGCCGUGACUAGAGUUCGGUAGGGGAGUGUGGAAUUCUUGGUGUAGCGGUGAAAUGCGUAGAUAUCAAGAGGAACACCUGCGGCGAAGGCGGGUUGCUGGGCCGACACUGACGCUGAUAGUGCGAAAGCUAGGGGAGCGAACGGG